rnacentral:tRNA from 4 species
GCCUUCAUAGCUCAGUUGGCCAGAGCACGUGAUUUGUAAUCUCGGGGUCGUGGGUUCGAAUCCCUCUGAAGGCU